AACGAACGCUGGCGGCGUGCUUAACACAUGCAAGUCGAACGAAGAGCGAUGGAAGCUUGCUUCUAUCACUCUUAGUGGCGAACGGGUGAGUAACGCGUAAUCAACCUGCCCUUCAGAGGGGGACAACAGUUGGAAACGACUGCUAAUACCGCAUACGAUCCGACCUCGGCAUCGAGGAGGGAUGAAAGGUGGCCUCUAUUUAUAAGCUAUCACUGAAGGAGGGGAUUGCGUCUGAUUAGCUAGUUGGAGGGGUAACGGCCCACCAAGGCAAUGAUCAGUAGCCGGUCUGAGAGGAUGAACGGCCACAUUGGGACUGAGACACGGCCCAGACUCCUACGGGAGGCAGCAGUGGGGAAUCUUCCGCAAUGGACGAAAGUCUGACGGAGCAACGCCGCGUGAGUGAUGACGGCCUUCGGGUUGUAAAGCUCUGUUAAUCGGGACGAAAGGUCUUCUUGCGAAUAGUUAGAAGAAUUGACGGUACCGGAAUAGAAAGCCACGGCUAACUACGU
rnacentral:rRNA from 1 species